rnacentral:lncRNA from 1 species
GGUUUUGCUCUGCUGGGUUUGGAGCUAGUGCUCCUUAUGUGUUUUUAAUCUUUCGCAAUCAAUUUCUCACACUUCAGAAUUGCUUUUAUAUUACGUAUGAAUUUCUAGAUUUUUAACAACAUUGAAGCUAUUUUUGUAAGAUUAUAGGGAUGGUUCUGAGGGUGAAACAUGUAAGAUACUGUUUGUAGGCAUUAUAUCGGACUACAAGCAGAGUAGAGAGAAAAAAAAGCAGGGAUUAAGUUUUGUUUGGUUUGUUACUUUUGCUCUUGUUUUUGCGAUUUGCUGUUGUAUGUGAUAUUCUAUAUCCUUAUGGGGUGCUUGCUAUGUCUAUGUUUCCUAACACCUAUUUGCUUGUUGGUGUUUGCAAUGAUGCUACCACUCACAAGUUUAAAGGGAAAACUGUUAUGA